AUAUUUACCUGGCACAGGGAUCCCGUGAUCUAAAGGCGGUUUUUUCCCAAGGCGAGGCUCCCCCAUUGCACUCCUUUGGGCGCUGACCCUUGCGAUUAACCCAAAAUGUGGUUAACUCGGUGCGCAAUUUUUGUUUGGGGACUGGUUCCGCUAUCCCCCUU